AGUUUGAAAAAUCGCGUAAGCACAACAUCAUAAAAGAUCCAUCGAUUAUCUCGUCUGGAAGAAGCGCUACUUUUGGCAGCGGUAGCUGAUGAUGAGCAGCAGCAAGCAAGAUCACCAAGCUCAUAACUUACAGAGGCUUCUGUGAACGUGACAUGCCUUUCCUGGUCCACAGUACAAUGUUCAGUCGGUUCAGUCGACCCGCCUCUAAGUGAUCCGUGGCCUACGGUAUGCAACAAUGCUGUGCAAUUUUCUUCAUUAUUGACAG